GACGGAGGAUGCAAGCGUUAUCCGGAAUGAUUGGGCGUAAAGCGUCCGCAGGUGGCAGUUCAAGUCUGCUGUCAAAGACCGGGGCUUAACUUCGGAAAGGCAGUGGAAACUGAACAGCUAGAGUAUGGUAGGGGCAGAGGGAAUUCCCAGUGUAGCGGUGAAAUGCGUAGAGAUUGGGAAGAACACCGGUGGCGAAAGCGCUCUACUGGGCCUGCACUGACACUGAGGGACGAAAGCUAGGGGAGCGAAAGGG
rnacentral:rRNA from 1 species